rnacentral:tRNA from 1 species
GGGGAUUUAGCUCAGUGGUAGAGCGCUUGCCUAGCAAGCACAAGGCCCUGAGUUCGGUCCUCAGCUCUG